rnacentral:sRNA from 1 species
GCUGGGCAUGGUGGUGCACGCCUGUAAUCCCAGCAGCUCAGGAGGCUGAGGCAGGAGGAUCACAAGUUCAAAGCCAGCCUCAGCAAAAUCGAGGCACUAAGCAACUCAGUGAGACCCUGUCUCUA